rnacentral:snRNA from 1 species
GUGCUUGCUUCAGCAGUGCAUGAUUGCAAGGAUACAGAAAAGAUUCACAAGGCCCCUGCGCAAGGAUGACACGCAAAUUCUGAAAUGUUCCACAUCUUU